UCAAACCGCUAGAGGGCUUAACUAAUCUUUACUGGAAGUAAGCCGGAAUUUCCAAGUCAUCCUUAAUGUUUACACAUUUUGCAAUGAUGACUUGCUGAUAUGUUUCAUUGGCAUAAGCUACGAAAACAUGGCUCAGCCAUUUUUUUUUCUUUUCACAUACAUCCUCUGACUAUGGAUUUCAGAAACAAAACAUGACUAGUUCCCAAAAUAAUUUGGGUUCCUCACUUCAAAGAACAAGUUUCGAAUGGUGUAAAGCAAAUACGUCACAGUGCUGGAGAGCUGAGUGUCUGAUAAACUUGCUUCAAGGUUAUCGGGCUGUUGGAAUCAAAGAAGUGGAAAGCAGGAGAUGAAAUCAAAAUACAGAACAAUGGAAGCACACGACUUGAAUGCCCUGUCGAAAGAAACAAAUAAAGUCGGGUAUCCCACAAAUCUACACCAGGUUUCUGUAAUUCCUGUUUGAAAAGACUAUCUUUCAAAAACCACAUACAAUAACACGAACGUAUAAACAAAGGUUCCCGUAUGUAGCCUUUACUUAUGUAAAAGGAUUAACACAUACUUACAACCUUAAAACAAUCAAUAAACGAGAGUGUCAUAACUACAUGCUAAAUCUGCAUGGCACUUACGUGGAUAUAGCUCAAUAAAGAUAUAUUCUGUAUUA